AGGUGCCUUUAUUGCACCCUAAGCACACCCCCUCCUGAUUGCGGAAGCUAACCAGGGCCAGGCUUGGUUAGUGCUUGGAGGGGAGACGACCCCGCAGUAAAACGGGAGAGAGCUCUUG
rnacentral:rRNA from 1 species